AGUAGUUGGUGACAGUUUUCAGUUUUCAAAUACCCUGUCCAGUGUCUACAUUUCCAUUUCAGAAGCUGUAUUGAAAGGAGAGCAGGUCUUCCCUUUCCACUGGAAUGAAUAUAUUUGAGAAGCAGAAGUCCUCCUCUGCCUCCUUUAUCUUAAGAAGUAUGACUUGCUUUCUUCUGUUUCAAAAUCUUUAUGAGAACAUUUAGGAGGAAAAGAAUAAAACACACAGAUUCAUCCACAAUUCAUCCACCUCGGGAUCCUUUUGCAGGUUGGGCGCAAUCAACAAGCAAAAAAACGCUGGCAGACUCGUUUGACCCGUUCCUUCUCCACAGGUACUUAAGUUAGAAGCCAGCUUCUCCAAUGUGCCUAAACAAAAGAGAGAGAAAGACUACUGGAGACUGUGAAGGUUUGUAUCUCCUAAAUAUUGUGGCUAAAAAAUUAUUAACAUUUUAAUC
rnacentral:lncRNA from 1 species